CAUGGGUCUACUCCGCAUGCUGGUGGUCAUAUACAUGGUCCUAUAUUUAACAAUUUACUUUGGCUUAAUAGCGGCCCUCGUCUACAUACGGGCUAAUAUUACAAAGGAAAAGCUGGGUUUAUCACUGGUGCCAGAAACAUGUACCGCGCACUGCGCGUGUGAAGAAUGUCAAGUCGCCUCAUGCCCAGGGCUGUGGAAUCCUUAAGAUAAUAUGUAGGGCCUGGAGAAAAUUCUGGUUGGGUCGACUACUUGCCGAAGAAAUGAAAAUCAAGUUUUUAUCAAGACUUUUAUUCCAUAAAAAAAACUUGUAAAAAUGUUGAACAGCGUGCGGAGUACGGACCCUAUCCAGAAACAUUGUGAAAUGUCCAAGGUAUCGUUUUGUACUGUCACAGUAACUUCUGCGCCGAAGUUAACCCAAAUAUAAGACGACAAUAAAAAACUAUGAUGAAACAUAUUUCGUAACAUAAGUUCAGAAACUAAAUUUCCAAAAGAUAUCAUAAAUAUCGAAACUGGUCAAUCCAAAACAAUCACGUGCAGAGAUAUAUAUAUAUAUAUAUGAACUGUUGAAAGAAACCACAACCAAACCAUACCAAACCAUAGAUAGUCAAGUGUGCUGUAAAUUUUCACACCAAAUGGAAAAAUUUCAAUUCGACGAAGCUCUGAUUAUCGAAUGUAACUAACCUAGUUUCAGUGUACUGUGGAGUCUGUAAACAAGCUCAUUUGAUGCGUCAACUUUUUUCGACGAGCAAAAGAUAUCUAUUACAAGUUUCCAUAGAAUGUUAUUUAUAGUAAUCCGAAUAAGAUGAAUUUGAAUUUACAUCACUAUAAUAAACUAUAUUUAAC